AAAAGCACCCCGGAAGGGGAGUGAAAAGUAUCUGAAAUCAUGUGUCUACAAAGUGUCGGAGCGAAAGCGACGGCAUGCCUUUUGCAUAAUGAGCCUGCGACUUACUCUAACGAGCGAGGUUAAGCCGAGUGCGGAGCCGAAGCGAAAGCGAGUGUGAAUAGCGCGUCUAGUUCGUUGGAGUAGACCCGAAGCUGAGUGAUCUAUCCAUGGCCAGGUUGAACCUGCAGUAACAUGCAGCGGAGGACCGAACCAGUUCAUGUUGAAAAAUGUUUGGAUGAGCUGUGGAUAGGGGUGAAAGGCCAAUCAAACUCAGUGAUAGCUGGUUCUCUUCGAAAUAGCUUUAGGGCUAGCCUUGCGUAAAUAGUUUGUGGGGGUAGAGCUACUGAUUGUUCGCGGGCCCUUACCGGGGUACCAAGAACUAUUAAACUCCGAAUACCAUGAACCGUACCGCAGGAGUCAGACUAUGGGGGAUAAGCUUCAUGGUCGAGAGGGAGACAGCCCAGACCGCCGGCUAAGGUCCCCAAUCUGGACUUAGUGGUUUGAAGGAUGUGAUGUUGCAUAAACAGCCAGGAUGUUGGCUUAGAGGCAGCCAUCAUUUAAAGAGUGCGUAAUAGCUCACUGGUCGAGUGAUAUCGCGCCGAAGAUGAUCGGGACUGAAGUCCAGAACCGAAGCCGCGGAUCGUGAAUUUAUUCACGGUGGUAGAAGAGCGUUGUAUGCGGGUCGAAGCCGAAGAGGGAUCUGAGGUGGACUGCAUACAAGUGACCAUGCAGGCAUGAGUAGCGAAAAACCGGAUGAGAAUUCCGGUCACCGAAAACCUAAGGUUUCCCGGGGAAGGUUCGUCCGCCCGGGGUUAGUCGGAACCUAAGGCGAGGCCGAAAGGCGUAGUCGAUGGAGGACAGGUUAAUAUUCCUGUACCACCUUGUUGGAGUGAUGGAGGGACGCAGUAAGUCAGGUGAGCCAACUGCUGAAUAUGUUGGUCGAAGGCCGUAGGGCGCACGAUAGGCAAAUCCGUCGUGCUUUCAACCCGAGAGUCGUAAGGUAGCCGAACGCAAGUUUGGCGAAUUCACUGUGACGACGCUGACGAGAAAAGCUUCUAAACGUUGAAAACAGGGUGUCCGUACCGAAACCGACACAGGUAGGUGAGGCGAGUAGCCUAAGGUGCGCGAGAGAAACCAACGUUAAGGAACUCGGCAAAUUGACCCCGUAACUUAGGGAUAAGGGGUGCCGCUUCAGGUGAAGGGACUUGCUCCCGGAGCCCGGAGCGGUUGCAACAAAGAGGCUGGGGCGACUGUUUAACAAAAACACAGCUCUAUGCUAACUCGCAAGAGGAUGUAUAUGGAGUGACACGUGACCAAUGCCAAAAGGUCAAUGGGAGAGGUUAGCGCAAGCGAAGCUUCGAUCUGAAGCCCUGGUGAAUGUCGGCCGUAACUAUAACGGUCCUAAGGUAGCGAAAUUCCUUGUCGGGUAAGUUCCG
rnacentral:rRNA from 1 species